rnacentral:lncRNA from 1 species
CUCCGUCCGCUGCCCCCGAGCGCUCCGAAUCCAGCCUCGGCCACCCGGGGGCGGGGCGUGAAAAGGGGGCGUCUCUUCCCGGGUGAAGGCCGAGGGACCUCGGACCACCCCCACUUCAGAAAGGGACCCUGACUGCGCACCGUGUCCUUUCCAUGGCGAGCGGACCCCUCCGGACCCCCGCCCCUGACACACCUGAGUCGCCUCCGGCACGCGAUCUGUCCGGCACCCCCCCUCGGGCGCCUUCUCCCCCAGGCUGGCUGGGAGCUGGGACGGGGACGCGCAGGGUCUGGCCGCGGGAAGGCUGGACCUGUUGUGGCUUGCACCGGGAUCUACGCCCUCCUGCCGGAGGCUGGCUCUCGCCUCUCCUCCCUUCCUCGAUUCUGCGCCGCCACCCCUCACCCACGCCGCUUAUUUUCCCUCCCUUUGCACACUCCCGUGGGACAGGGAGAGUUACAGGCUUAAGACUUUAUCUCAUUGUGGAAAGCAAGAGACCAAGCCGAAAACUUUGGUCGUGCUUUUCAACAUCUCUGGUCAAAAGAGAGGUCGCCAAUCUGCUUUUCUCCCAUUGCUGCGUGUUAGAGGGGUGUGGUGCCAUGAUACCACUUUUAAAAAUCCUGUUGAAUGCAAGUCCUCUUUGUUGCUCAUUGAACAAUGAGGAUAUUCAGCUCCCCUCAGACCUACCCUCAGAGUUGGAUGAGCUAUCCUCAGAGUUGGAUGCCACCACUGGGAGCAGCAAAAGCGAAGGCAACUCAUGAUUCUGCCUCAGAAGCAAUCGAAUAAAAUAUUUUGAAAAUGA